rnacentral:rRNA from 1 species
GAUGAACGCUGGCGGCGUGCCUAAUACAUGCAAGUCGAGCGAACGGACGAGAAGCUUGCUUCUCUGAUGUUAGCGGCGGACGGGUGAGUAACACGUGGAUAACCUACCUAUAAGACUGGGAUAACUUCGGGAAACCGUAGCUAAUACCGGAUAAUAUUUUGAACCGCAUGGUUCAAAAGUGAAAGACGGUCUUGCUGUCACUUAUAGAUGGAUCCGCGCUGCAUUAGCUAGUUGGUAAGGUAACGGCUUACCAAGGCAACGAUGCAUAGCCGACCUGAGAGGGUGAUCGGCCACACUGGAACUGACACACGGUACAGACUCCUACGGGAGGCAGCAGUAGGGAAUCUUCCGCAAUGGGCGAAAGCCUGACGGAGCAACGCCGCGUGAAUGAUGAAGGUCUUCGGAUCGUAAAACUCUGUUAUUAGGGAAGAACAUAUGUGUAAGUAACUGUGCACAUCUUGACGGUACCUAAUCAGAAAGCCACGGCUAACUACGUG